rnacentral:lncRNA from 1 species
CCUUAAACCUUGUAGUUAUUGACCUUCCAGAAAAAAAUCUAUCUGCAAAUCAAAAAAACCAAAUUAGCUUAUAAUACACGACGUAGUAUUUUGCAGAAAUUAUGGAAGUUCAAACCAAAUCCAAUUCUUGUUACCUAAAACAUCCCGAAUGUUUUGAAGAAUUUGUGCUUUUCUUAUUUUGCUACUAUGGAUUGUUCCAAAAUGUAGUAAUCUACAAGUCAAAAUCUUUGAGAAUGUGCCAAACAGUUACCAUAACUAGUUGUGAAGGAGCAGAGCUAUAAGUCAAUUCUUCUGCACAUCACAAUAAUUAUGAUACUCAAAUUUAUACAAAAAAAAUCUCUUCACAAAAGGCAGAGGCAUAAACGGUAAACCAUUCAAACAAAAGUAUACAAGGACAAAACAAACACUUAAGUCACCCUCAUAAAUUCAUGUAAGAUUGUUGGACUCCACUCACCUUGCUGAACUGGUGAGGUAAAGACAUGUCCUUCCAUAAUUUGUCUUGUCAACACGUUCCAAUAAUAAAUCAAGGUCUUCAACCUAUAAUGAUUCAAAAGGCCACUUACAUAUGUAUCUUGAAGUGCAAAAAGAAAGGAUACACAAGGAAUACAACAAGUAAAUACAUCCAUCAGAAGAUCGACAGCCUUAGGUUUAGCAUUAUGCUGCAAUGCAGAAUCAUAGAUUUCUUACUAAAAAUCUUACUAAAAUAUGCAAUCCACAAAUCUCAUAACAAAUAAACAUAGCUUCUAUCCACUAUCUUAGCUGAACAGAACUUUAAUAGCUCACCUGAAAUCUCUUUGAGAAGAUAUAACCACUCAAAAAACCAAUAAGAUGAAUCAUACCUUCUUGUGAAAGGCAACAAUUUGUUUUUUAAGAUCCAUCAAAUCAUCAAUUGUUGCAUCUUCACUCAAAAAUAGUUUGUGUAAACAAAAGACAUAUUAGAAAGGAUUUAUAAGCAAUUAAUACCUGACCAUAUAUAUCCCAAAUUGCUGAAGUAUA